AUACGUAGGUGGCAAGCGUUGUCCGGAAUUACUGGGUGUAAAGGGAGCGCAGGCGGGCGUGCAAGUCAGCUGUGAAAUCCAUGGGCUUAACCCGUGGGCUGCAGUUGAAACUGUAUGUCUUGAGAGAAGUAGAGGUAUGCGGAAUUUCGAGUGUAGUGGUAAAAUGCGUAGAUAUUCGGAGGAACACCGGUGGCGAAGGCGGCCUACUGGGCUUUAACUGACGCUGAGGCUCGAAAGUGUGGGGAGCAAACAGGAUUAGAUACCCUGGUAGUCCACACUGUAAACGAUGAUUGCUAGGUGUGGGGGGUCUGACCCCUUCCGUGCCGCAGUUAACGCAAUAAGCAAUCCACCUGGGGAGUACGGCCGCAAGGCUAAAACUCAAAUGAAUUGGCGGGG
rnacentral:rRNA from 1 species